GCCUCGAAGACUUCUUGUUUCUCUCACCCCAAACACACCAGGCCAAAUAUGCAGCACGCUGCUGUAAUUUAACAAUAUAUAGUUAGACCAAUUUUGCAUCAUAUCUUUCACCUAGGAUUUGGAUCACACUUCACUGCAUUUCCCGACCAUUAGAUUGCAAUUACUCAUACAAAUAUGCAACAAGUCGGUGUAUUACUCGGGCCAAUAAUCGCUUAAUCUUGAAUACCCAACAGACCCAAACAAGACACAGGCUCGGACCGGCAACCCAUCUAGCGCAAAGCCUUGCAAAGUCUUACACACUUUCAACCCACAAACAACUUCUCUUCUCUCUCUCCACCAGUCCACCAGCACAGCCGUCGCCCUCCGCAAAAGUGUGCUGCUUCAGUCACUCCACAGCCAUCACAACCACCACUAACUCCCUUUCUCCGACGAUCCCCACUUCUUGUGUCGUCUUCCCAACCUCUUUUCUUCUUCUGCUAUUGCCCUGCAAGAUGGCUUUUUAUGGGGGUGCAAGGCGCUCAAUUGGGAUUAUUUGCAGCAAAAUGCGAUCUGGGCAUCAUGGGUUUUCGACCAUUGCUGUCAAAAGAAAUUGUUCUGGCACAAUUGUUGAUGAUGUUCAGUUUAAUAUGGGGUUUUCUGGGCUGUUUUUGAGGAGAUAUUCUGCUGCAUCAUCAUCUGAUCAGAUGGGUCUUAUUAAGCAGCUCAGAGAAAGAACAAGUGCUCCUAUUAAAGAUGUUAAAUCUGCUCUAGUUGAUUGUAAUUGGGACAUUGAUGCUGCUCAGAAGGAGCUGAGGAAACGAGGAGUUUACCUGGCUUCAAAGAAGUCGUCCCGAGCAGCCACCGAAGGUUUGCUUGCCCUUGCUCAGGAUGACACAAAAACUGCUAUUAUUGAGCUGAAUUGUGAGACUGAUUUUGUUGCAAGGAAUGAUAUAUUUCAGUACAUGGCUUUAUCUCUAGCAAAGUUGGCAUUGUCAGCCGAGGGUUCUUCUCAGCAAGUAGCUGAAGCCUUUCCAGUGACACUUGAAUAUUUAGAGAGCUUGAAGCUGAAUCUAACCCAUCCAAAACUAAGCGGAGAGAAGAGUGUGCAAGAGGCAGUUGUUGAGCUGGCAGCUAUGAUGGGGGAAAAUGUCAAACUAAGGAGGGGCUUUGCAUUGUCAAAAACUUCACCUGGUGUCAUUUCUACAUACCUUCAUUCAAGUCCCCAAUCAGGCGUGGGUCGUAUGGCUGCAAUUUUAUCUUUACAAGUGGAGAACCCAAAUGUUGACUUGGCUGCCCUACAACGUGUUGGAUCGGAGUUAGCUAUGCAUGUAGUAGCUUCCAAACCCUUAUUUCUCUCAAAGGAACUUGUUUCCUCUGAUGCCUUAGAUAAUGAACGUGAAAUUCUCAGAUCUCAGGCAGAAGCAUCUGGGAAGCCUAAGAUGGCCAUUGAGAAGAUGGUAGAAGGACGAAUAAGGAAAUACUUAGAGGAAGUGGUUCUAUUGGAGCAAAAGUAUGUUCUUGAUGAUACAGUCAAUGUGAAGACUGUUUUGGAUAAUCUGAGCAAGGAAGUUGGGUCCCCUGUAAAGAUUGAAAGCUUUUUUAGGUUGGCAGUAGGAGAAGGAAUUGAGAGGGAAAUUUAUACAAGAUGAAAGAAAGACUCUGUAGAAAGAUGGUGCUAUAGGAGGGGCUGACUUGUUUUCGACAGAGUCUUCCUUUCAUUGGCUUACUCUUUGGACCUACGUUGACAAGUUCAGAUGCAAGUGAAUCAGAGCAGGUGGCUCAGACUGCUUAGGAUUUGCUUAUGGGAAUGUCAUUUUCAUUUUCUUUUUAUGGUAUUGGACAUACCAAUGCUCAAGAGUUCAUAGGUAAACGCAACAUGUAGAAUUUUUGGAUAUUUUUGUAUCUAAUUAUCAAGCAUAUAUUCUGCUGAGCUAGGGCUAGUCGUGUACCCACAGUCGAAUAAAAAUAUCCCUUGCGGGUUAAAACUAUUAGACAUACAUAUACUGAUUUGACAUUGUGGCCUUGUUUAUCAGUCCAUGGCCACUUGGAAUGCUACAUUUUUGAAGCAACAGAACUUAGAAGAUUGUUGA